UAGGGAAUCUUCCGCAAUGGGCGAAAGCCUGACGGAGCAACGCCGCGUGAGUGAAGAAGGUUUUCGGAUCGUAAAACUCUGUUAUUAGGGAAGAACAAAUGUGUAAGUAACUAUGCACGUCUUGACGGUACCUAAUCAGAAAGCCACGGCUAACUACGUGCCAGCAGCCGCGGUAAUACGUAGGUGGCAAGCGUGAUCCGGAAUUAUUGGGCGUAAAGCGCGAGUAGGCGGGUUUUUAAGUCUGAUGUGAAAGCCCACGGCUCAACCGUGGGGGGUCAUUAGAAACUUGAAAACUUGAGUGCCGAAGGGGAAAGUGGAAUUCCAUGUGUCGCGGUGAAAUGCGCAGAGAUAUGGAGAAACACCAGUGGCGAAGGCGACUUUCUGGUCUGUAACUGACGCUGCUUUGCGAAAGCGUGGGGAUCAAACAGG
rnacentral:rRNA from 1 species